ensembl:lncRNA
GGAGAGAGCUGAGUAAAUCAGCUUUUCUUUACACAUAUUGCAAGCGUGUGAAGAUUUCACUUCCCUCAGGGCUUUAAUAUUGGCCUCUGUCUAGCUCCAAACAAAUUCAAGACUCAGACCAGUAAGAGAGCAACUGAACAACACCACUUCCGGGUAAAUAUAAUAGUCAAAGCAAACAUGACCUAAACCUCUUGAGAGAACCACAUUGAAGAAAUAAUCGGUAUACUUAAAGUAAUUUUUCAGGCGUGUCAGGAGGAAGCAUAAGGAAAAAGGUAAAAAUUAAUAUUAACAAAAACAAAAAAUGUUUUUCAGCAACAGCAUGUCUGACUCCAGACAGCAUUUGAUGAAACUGAAAAAAGGUACUGUUAAAAGAG